UACGACGGUGGCAAGCGUUACUCGGAAUUACUAGGCGUAAAGGGCAGGUAGGUGGUUUUGUAAGUCUAUUGUGAAAGCUCCCGGCUUAACUGGGAGAGGUCAAUGGAUACUGCAGAACUUGAGUAUAGGAGAGGUUACUGGAAUUCCCGGUGUAGCGGUGAAAUGCGCAGAGAUCGGGAGGAACACCAAUGGCGAAAGCAGGUAACUGGACUAUUACUGACACUCAGCUGCGAAAGCUAGGGGAGCAAACAGG
rnacentral:rRNA from 1 species